CCAAACAGAAAGCAAUUCGAGACAUGGGCAAGAAAGACAAAAAUAAGGAACCGGCGGACGCUGCAGCAGCUGUCGAUGCACCACCAACCGAUGGCCCGCCGGCGGGCGAGGGCGCCGACGGCGAAAUUGUGGGCGGACCGCGCAAUCCGCAACAAAUUGCGGCACAAAAGCGACUGCAGCAAACGCAGGCCCAGGUCGAUGAGGUCGUGGACAUUAUGCGCACGAAUGUCGAGAAGGUGCUGGAGCGUGAUGCCAAGCUCUCCGAGCUGGACGAUCGUGCCGAUGCCUUGCAGCAGGGCGCCUCGCAGUUCGAACAGCAGGCGGGCAAGCUAAAACGAAAAUUCUGGCUGCAGAACUUGAAGAUGAUGAUCAUCAUGGGCGUCAUUGGACUGGUCAUUGUUGGCAUCAUAGCAAAGAAAGACGAAGAAAAAUAAAAAAACAAUUUGUGCAAGCUUUAGCUUUAUGUUAUGUUUAUCAAUAAGAAAUUAUCAAAAGAAACCAAAAAUUCGUUAAAAUCUUAUUAUUUCGAGAUAAACUUGGCCUCAUAGGCGGCGAGCCGGCGCCGCAAUAUCCGCAAUAUCCGCCGUAUAUGCCACCACCGCCGCCGCAGCAACAG
rnacentral:misc_RNA from 1 species